rnacentral:rRNA from 1 species
AGGGAAUCUUCCACAAUGGGCGAAAGCCUGAUGGAGCAACGCCGCGUGAGUGAAGAAGGAUUUCGGUUCGUAAAACUCUGUUGUAAGGGAAGAACAAGUACAGUAGUAACUGGCUGUACCUUGACGGUACCUUAUUAGAAAGCCACGGCUAACUACGUGCCAGCAGCCGCGGUAAUACGUAGGUGGCAAGCGUUGUCCGGAAUUAUUGGGCGUAAAGCGCGCGCAGGUGGUUUCUUAAGUCUGAUGUGAAAGCCCACGGCUCAACCGUGGGGGGUCAUUGGAAACUGGGAGACUUGAGUGCAGGAGAGGAUAGGGGAAUUCCAAGGGUAGCGGGUAAAAGGGUAGGAAUUUGGAGGAACACCAGGGGCGGAGGCGAAUAUCUGGGCUGGAACUGACAAUGGGGCGCGAAAGCGGGGGGAGCAAACA